rnacentral:rRNA from 1 species
CCUACGGGUGGCAGCAGUGGGGAAUAUUGGACAAUGGGGGGAACCCUGAUCCAGCCAUGCCGCGUGUGUGAAGAAGGCCCUCGGGUUGUAAAGCACUUUCAGUGAGGAAGAACGCCUGGUGGUUAAUACCCAUCAGGAAAGACAUCACUCACAGAAGAAGCACCGGCUAACUCCGUGCCAGCAGCCGCGGUAAUACGGAGGGUGCGAGCGUUAAUCGGAAUUACUGGGCGUAAAGCGCGCGUAGGUGGCUUGGUAAGCCGGUUGUGAAAGCCCCGGGCUCAACCUGGGAACGGCAUCCGGAACUGUCAAGCUAGAGUGCAGGAGAGGAAGGUAGAAUUCCCGGUGUAGCGGUGAAAUGCGUAGAGAUCGGGAGGAAUACCAGUGGCGAAGGCGGCCUUCUGGACUGACACUGACACUGAGGUGCGAAAGCGUGGGUAGCAAACAGGAUUAGAUACCCCUGUAGUC